CCCGUCUGAGCACAUUUGAUUUUUUCAUGUUUUAGUUUUGUUAUUUUCAAAUCAAGUUUUUGCACUUGUCCUGGAUCCCACACUUACACCGAAACGUCGAGGUAAUUAACACACUACUCCAGUACAUCUUAAGUAUUAUAAAGAAGUCACAACGACGAGACAAAAUGGCUGUAAAAUGAUAUUUCCUCAAUUUAGUAGUGCCAGUAGCGUAAGUUUAACUAAUUAGACCAGGUUUUUUUUUACACAGACCCUCAAAUUUGGUCACUGGUAUAUUUAAUUAGGACUUUUAUUAUGUAAAUCUUACGCCUGUAUUCUAAAAGCUCACUCACAUAAGUCACACUCACUGAGUGGAGGUUCAAUCUGAGCUUCUCUGAAUGUCAAUGCUGUUUUGCAUAGCUGGAGGGUGAUUAUAGUCACAUAGGUAGUAAGGUAUGACACUAACCCUCCAACUCAAAAACAGCAAUGACAUUCGAGAGAAGCUCAGAUUGAACUUCCACUCAUCGAGUGUGAGGAGCUGUUAGAAUACGGGCGUUAGAAUGAAUAUCACUGAUGAUGCCAUUUUCCACAACAUUUUAGCAUGUUUCAUCCAGGACUGUACAAAGAAAGCCAAGCAUGAUGAUAUGGUGAUAGACUUCAACACUAAAAACGUAAAUGAUUACUUCGGUGCAAAAAUCACAGCAAUAUGUGGCAACAACACAAUGGAUGGAUGUUUGUGAAGUUCAGUUUUUGAAUUCAAACGACAAACACAGUUGCAUGAUCAAUUGUAGAAUUGAUGUUUCAAAAUUUAUGUAUAAAUAAAAUGACUUUAUAAA